rnacentral:rRNA from 1 species
AUUGAACGCUGGCGGCAGGCCUAACACAUGCAAGUCGAACGGUAACAGGAAGAAGCUUGCUUCUUCGCUGACGAGUGGCGGACGGGUGAGUAAUGUCUGGGAAACUGCCUGAUGGAGGGGGAUAACUACUGGAAACGGUAGCUAAUACCGCAUAACGUCGCAAGACCAAAGAGGGGGACCUUCGGGCCUCUUGCCAUCGGAUGUGCCCAGAUGGGAUUAGCUAGUAGGUGGGGUAACGGCUCACCUAGGCGACGAUCCCUAGCUGGUCUGAGAGGAUGACCAGCCACACUGGAACUGAGACACGGUCCAGACUCCUACGGGAGGCAGCAGUGGGGAAUAUUGCACAAUGGGCGCAAGCCUGAUGCAGCCAUGCCGCGUGUAUGAAGAAGGCCUUCGGGUUGUAAAGUACUUUCAGCGGGGAGGAAGGGAGUAAAGUUAAUACCUUUGCUCAUUGACGUUACCCGCAGAAGAAGCACCGGCUAACUCCGUGCCAGCAGCUGCGGUAAUACGGAGGGUGCAAGCGUUAAUCGGAAUUACUGGGCGUAAAGCGCACGCAGGCGGUUUGUUAAGUCAGAUGUGAAAUCCCCGGGCUCAACCUGGGAACUGCAUCUGAUACUGGCAAGCUUGAGUCUCGUAGAGGGGGGUAGAAUUCCAGGUGUAGCGGUGAAAUGCGUAGAGAUCUGGAGGAAUACCGGUGGCGAAGGCGGCCCCCUGGACGAAGACUGACGCUCAGGUGCGAAAGCGUGGGGAGCAAACAGGAUUAGAUACCCUGGUAGUCCACGCCGUAAACGAUGUCGACUUGGAGGUUGUGCCCUUGAGGCGUGGCUUCCGGAGCUAACGCGUUAAGUCGACCGCCUGGGGAGUACGGCCGCAAGGUUAAAACUCAAAUGAAUUGACGGGGGCCCGCACAAGCGGUGGAGCAUGUGGUUUAAUUCGAUGCAACGCGAAGAACCUUACCUGGUCUUGACAUCCACGGAAGUUUUCAGAGAUGAGAAUGUGCCUUCGGGAACCGUGAGACAGGUGCUGCAUGGCUGUCGUCAGCUCGUGUUGUGAAAUGUUGGGUUAAGUCCCGCAACGAGCGCAACCCUUAUCCUUUGUUGCCAGCGGUCCGGCCGGGAACUCAAAGGAGACUGCCAGUGAUAAACUGGAGGAAGGUGGGGAUGACGUCAAGUCAUCAUGGCCCUUACGACCAGGGCUACACACGUGCUACAAUGGCGCAUACAAAGAGAAGCGACCUCGCGAGAGCAAGCGGACCUCAUAAAGUGCGUCGUAGUCCGGAUUGGAGUCUGCAACUCGACUUCAUGAAGUCGGAAUCGCUAGUAAUCGUGGAUCAGAAUGCCACGGUGAAUACGUUCCCGGGCCUUGUACACACCGCCCGUCACACCAUGGGAGUGGGUUGCAAAAGAAGUAGGUAGCUUAACCUUCGGGAGGGCGCUUACCACUUUGUGAUUCAUGACUGGGGUGA